GAAUAGACGGAGACCCACACAAGCGGUGGAGCAUCUUGUUUAAUUCGACAGUAAGCGGGAAACCUUACCUGGGCUUGACAUCCCCGGAGAAUUUUCUAGAGAUAGAAAAGUGCCUUUUGGAACUCCGGUGACAGGUGCUGCAUGGUUGUCGUCAGCUCGUGCCUUGAGGUGUUCGGUUAAGUCCGUAAACGAGCGCAACCCUAGUCGUAUGUUGUAUUUCUCAUACGAGACUGCCGGUUACAAAUCGGAGGAAGGUUAGGAUGAUGUCAAAUCAGCAUGGCCCUUAUGCCCAGGGCUACAAAGGUGCUACAAUGGUAGGUACAACGGGCAGCGAAAGAGCAAUCUGGAGCCAAUCCCUUAAAGCCUAUCUUAGUUCGGAUUAAGGUCUGCAACUCGACCUUAUGAAGUUGGAAUCGCUAGUAACCGCAUAUCAGCUAUGGUGCGGUGAAUAUGUUCCUGGGUCUUGUACUCACCGCCCGUCAAGGCACGAAAGGUGGGNGUGCCCGAAGUCCCUCAAUUAUGGGGGCCUAAGGCAAAACCACUGAUUGGGCUUAAGUCGUAACAAGGUA
rnacentral:rRNA from 1 species